rnacentral:tRNA from 1 species
GGGCCCUUGGUCUAGUGGCUAUGAUAUCGCCUUCACACGGCGGAGGUCGCCGGUUCGAAUCCGGCAGGGCCCA